rnacentral:rRNA from 1 species
UACGUAGGGGGCGAGCGUUGUCCGGAGUUACUGGGCGUAAAGCGCACGCAGGCGGUCUGCUAAGUUUGGAGUGACAGUUGGUGGCUUAACUGCCAAAGUGCUUCGAAAACUGACAGACUUGAGGGCUUCAGAGGGACACGGAAUUCCGGGGUGGAGUGGUGGAAAUGCGUAGAGAUCCGGAGGAACACCAAAGGCGAAGGCAGUGUCCUGGGGAGUACCUGACGCUCAGGUGCGAAAGCCAGGGGAGCGAACGGGAUUAGAGU